UACGUAGGGGGCAAGCGUUGUCCGGAUUAUUGGGCGUAAAGAGCGUGUAGGCGGUUUGGUAGGUCCGCUGUGAAAACUCGAGGCUCAACCUCGAGACGCCGAUGGAAACCCCCCAGCUAGAGUCCGGAAGAGGAGAGUGGAAUUCCUGGUGUAGCGGUGAAAUGCGCAGAUAUCAGGAAGAACACCCGUGGCUAAGGCGGCUCUCUAGUACGGUACUGACGCUGAGACGCGAAAGCGUGGGGAGCGAACAGG
rnacentral:rRNA from 1 species